rnacentral:rRNA from 1 species
AGUGAACGCUGGCGGUAGGCCUAACACAUGCAAGUCGAACGGCAGCACAGUAAGAGCUUGCUCUUACGGGUGGCGAGUGGCGGACGGGUGAGGAAUACAUCGGAAUCUACUUUUUCGUGGGGGAUAACGUAGGGAAACUUACGCUAAUACCGCAUACGACCUACGGGUGAAAGCAGGGGAUCUUCGGACCUUGCGCGAUUGAAUGAGCCGAUGUCGGAUUAGCUAGUUGGCGGGGUAAAGGCCCACCAAGGCGACGAUCCGUAGCUGGUCUGAGAGGAUGAUCAGCCGCACUGGAACUGAGACGCGGUCCAGGCUCCUGCGGGAGGCAGCAGUGGGGAAUAUUAGGCAGUGGGCGCAAGCCUGGUCCAGCGGGACCGCGUGGGUGAAGGAGGCCUUCGGGUUGUAAAGCCCUUUUGUUGGGAAAGAAAAGCAGCAGGUUGAUACCAAGCUGUACUGACGGUACCGAAAGAAGAAGCACCGGCUAACUACGUG